rnacentral:lncRNA from 1 species
CUCGCCCUGGCCUGUCUGAGCCUGUCCUAACCCAGUCCAAAUCCAGUUGGGAACAUGCCUAGCGCAGGGUAAUCUGUUAAUGAGUCCAGCCCAAAUCCCGUCCAAAAUAUGGUAGGUAGGACUGUUUACAUGAGGAAUCAAGACACACCUCAUUACUGCUUGCACCGCGGUCAUCUUUCAUGUGUCUGCUCUUGACUACCAUGUGCUGGCAGGUCCCAUUACCGUGUAUAAUCAUACAACUCAGUUCCCAUCGACCCCACAUAAUGCUAGGUUGGUGGAGGGGUUUCAGGAGGGUUGCUGGAGGGUGGCUGUGUAGCAGCCACAAAACACAUCCCAGGAUGACAGGAUUGCUUACCAGCUGGCUGCAGUUUAGUGCAGGAUAUGUCAGCCUAGGAAAGAGAAGGCCUUAGCAGCACUGUGCAGGAUGUAUUGUUACUCCAAAAUGUCUGCUUGCUUGCUGGCACAGGGCUAUGUAAUCACACAGAGUUGGAAGCAUGGAUCAACCUUGCGACCUGCCAGUCUAUUGUGCUGACCAGUGAUCAAGUGAUUCAGGUGCACUAUUCAGUCUUGAUGCCAUAUGUAAGCAUAUAAAAUGCUCCACAGAUGUCAAGGGAUGCUUACAUGUACAUGUGCCAAUAUGUAUGACAGUAAAUAUGGCGUGUUUGACAUUUGCAAACUAUCUCGGUCCCGGUGAUGCUGUUUUUGCCUUUGUAAUCAGCCAUGGUGACAGGUGGCGGGUCCAGCACGUUUGCAAGCGGGCGUGCAGCUUGGCAACGGAAUGCGCCACCGUGCAG